CACGUAGGGCGCAAGCGUUGUCCGGAAUUAUUGGGCGUAAAGAGCUCGUAGGCGGUCUGUUACGUCUGCUGUGAAAACCCUGGGCUUAACCCUGAGCUUGCGGUCGAUACGGGCAUGACUGGAGUUCGGCAGGGGAGACUGGAAUUCCUGGUGUAGCGGUGGAAUGCGCAGAUAUCAGGAGGAACACCAAUAGCGAAGGCAGCUCGCUGGGACGGUAUUGACGCUAAGGCGCGAAAGCGUGGGGAGCAAACAGG
rnacentral:rRNA from 1 species